UCGUACGCGAGCCUUCAGUCAGUCCGUGCCGAAUUCGGGGGAAGUCCUUUUUUGAUUCUGACAAGACGGUCUUUUCGGUGGAUUUCCGUGUGCAGGACCCUCUGACUUAAUUAAAAAUUGCAUACACGCGGCGUGUCAACAAGUUAAUGUUCUGUAUAAGCAGCUCACAGCGGCUUACGAAGCCACAAACAAACUGCUUAAGCUCCUUAAAAAAUUCACGAUUCAGCAUUAUUUUACCGAAUAAACAGUUGAAAUUGCAGCAAAGUUUUGCGUCCAAUUGGCGCCACUCCACAGUCGAAGUUGCUAAACUUUAGCUCUUCCCGAUGAUAAAUUGUUAAGGAACUUUUUGCGAGUUUUCUUUUUCGGGACCAAGUGGCAAUUGAAAUGACAAUUUUGCAAUCAGAUAACAUUUACUUCCGGGAAAGUUAUAGUGCUUCUGCUUUGGUAACGCAAAUAAGAAUAGAGUAAAUAGAUUUAGUAUCCUCUGCGAUACGAAAAGACUGCACAUUAAAUCCAAAAGGUGAGCAGAGUCCCUGACUUGAUUUACUUGAGCACACAUCCGCUUCACAUCAAUCAAAUAAAUACACUGACAAAAAAAGAUGUAAAGAAUUUAAC
rnacentral:lncRNA from 1 species